CUACAGUUUUGCAACAUGCAGGUCACACUGUUACUCAGUUCUUGUCACACACACAAACAGGCAAGUAGAUGUAGCAAGCAGUUGUUUAAUCUCAUGAUGAUGCUCAAGUGCACAAAUGCAGAUACCUCACACAGCAAACAUCAGAUAAUAUUUAAUCAUAUAUAUAUAUAUAUAUGACAAUGGCUAUAAUGUAAAACACAGAAUCCCACAUGUGCAGGUUGUCCUGUGCAUUUUGAAGUGGGUAGCAGCAGUCGAGUCUGAGAAAGCAGCUCUACAUGCUUCUCCAAUGUGAUCAUAUGCCUGCAUGGAACAGUGUUCAGCGAUAGCUAAUGCCAUGGUAGCCUCAGCCUUUUUUUGCAGAGUAAUUGUUUUGAACCAUAAAUGGCAGCUUGUUUUGGGUGGAACUGUUAUCAGGCUUUGCCUUUUGAGUAUGUUUUUGAGUUGUUGUGUUUUUUUUACAUCAAAGUUUGGUGUAGAAAUCAGCCUUACAAUACAGGCAGUAUGCCUGUGUAUCGUCUCCAAUAAACGGCUUCACCCAGCCUUUGAAUUCAGGGUUUGAUUCCCCGCGCCAAAACGGCCCAAUCACAGCUGUGUAUGCAAACCAAAUGAUGACCCGUAGCAGGAUUUUUAAACAGUAAAAAAAAGAAAAAGUUAACUAAAUGCAACGGGGGAAAAAAAGGUUUCCUAAUCAACUUGAAAAAAAUAAAUGGAGCCUAACGAGAUUGAGAAGGUUCAGGAGACAAUAGAGACAGAGACAGUGGCCGGGUCUUCUGAAGACCACGAGGAAGGAAAUGCCUGGCCGCAUCUCAAAGAACACUUCCGCUUCAAGCAGAGAGGAGACAAAAGAACACUUCCGCUUCAAGCAGAGAGGAGACAAAAGAACACUUCCGCUUCAAGCAGAGAGGAGGAGACAGUGUAACUAUGGAAUGGAAAGAUGGUGGCUGCCUACAAAAACUCUGCUUCAAAUUUGAGGAAACAUGUAAUGGUACAAAAAAGCCAGGCAGUCGAGUCAGCAGACCGAGACUCAGAUGCUGAAGAGCCAGCAGAGCAGGUUGAAUGGCAAGACACCUAAUUCCAUCCUGGAAAAUGACAGUGGCCUAGAAUAAUCAACUCCCUCAGCAUCAACGGAGUGCACGUCACCUGCUGAACCUAAAUGCAACAGAUUCUGCGUUGGCAGAAACACAGUGAUGGCUACAAAAGGUUGUCCAGAUCAUCUUUUGCCAAAUGCCAUGUGGAGUAAAGGGGACGGUCAACCUUAACUGCUGAAGUUGUAGAGAAUAAGCGCAAACUGCAGUUGAUCCGUCCGAAUCAAAACGAGUUGGAACUCAACUUACGUGACUGGAGAGGAUCACACAUAUAAAGAGUGUGACAAGAAUUAAAAGUGAAAAUGCGAGUAGCAAUUCUUUGAAUCAACUUAAAUAUUUUCCUAUUACACUAAUAUAUUGUCAAUGAAAUGUUAGAAUUAGAGGUAUUACAUUCCCCUUGUCUUUCAGGCUGAACCUGGCAGAAAUGUCCUUCUUGAAUGAGUACUGCGAAGUGAUGAAAGCCUUUGGUCUCAGCUUUGAACCUUCUACAGUCUGAGACCAACAUGCAUAUGGGGUGGCUGCUACCAGUGAUCUUCUUACUAAAAAACUAAACUUCAAAAGGUCGGGAAGCAUCUUGCCAAAUGUGCCUACCACUUAUCAGAGCCAGUCAGAAUGGCAAAUUCAGAGAGAAGUCAUGCGAGUUAAGUGUUCGAUAGGUUGUUCCUCAAAUAAUAUGGCUUUUGAACAUUUGUAUAUGUGAAGUUGAAGAGUUUAUAUUAAAAUCAGCUGUGGUGGA